GAUGAACGCUGGCGGCGUGCUUAACACAUGCAAGUCGAACGAUGAAGCUGGAGCUUGCUCUGGUGGAUUAGUGGCGAACGGGUGAGUAACACGUGAGCAACCUGCCCCUGACUCUGGGAUAACAGCCGGAAACGGCUGCUAAUACCGGAUAUGCACCAUGAACGCAUGUUCUGUGGUGGGAAAGAUUUUUCGGUUGGGGAUGGGCUCGCGGCCUAUCAGCUUGUUGGUGAGGUAAUGGCUCACCAAGGCGUCGACGGGUAGCCGGCCUGAGAGGGUGACCGGCCACACUGGGACUGAGACACGGCCCAGACUCCUACGGGAGGCAGCAGUGGGGAAUAUUGCACAAUGGGCGAAAGCCUGAUGCAGCAACGCCGCGUGAGGGAUGACGGCCUUAGGGUUGUAAACCUCUUUUAGCAGGGAAGAAGCGAGAGUGACGGUACCUGCAGAAAAAGCGCCGGCUAACUACGUG
rnacentral:rRNA from 1 species